GCGGCCAUAGUUUAGUGGCAUGACACUGGCUUCCCAAGCCAGUAACCCGGGUUCGAAGCAACCCUUUCGGCCAGUUUGGCUAAAAGGUCUGCACCCCAAAAAGGUGCUGUUGGCGAAACUCCCGGUGGCCGCA
rnacentral:tRNA from 1 species